UGCCAGCCGCCGCGGUAAUACGGAAGGUGCGAGCGUUAAUCGGAAUUACUGGGCGUAAAGCGCACGUAGGCGGACUUUUAAGUCAGAUGUGAAAUCCCAAGGCUCAACCUUGGAACUGCAUUUGAAACUGGGAGUCUAGAGAUCAGGAGAGGGGGAUGGAAUUCCUGGUGUAGCAGUGAAAUGCGUAGAUAUCAGGAGGAACACCGAUGGCGAAGGCAGUCCCCUGGGUCGACACUGACGCUCAGGCACGAAAGCGUGGGGAGCAAACAGGAUUAGAUA
rnacentral:rRNA from 1 species